rnacentral:lncRNA from 1 species
CUUAAAAAGUAAUAAAGUAAAAAGCUAAAGGAUUCAUCUUACUUAAAGAAGAACUUUGACAGUAAUAAAGUAAAAAGGGAAAAAGAUUUAGCUUAGGUAAUAAAAGAAGUUUUAAAAAUAUUGAGAAAGUACUGCUGAAAAAAUGCUAUAUAAUGAAACCUUCACAAUAGAGGGUAAGACAGAAUAGUUGGAAAGAAGCCUAAGUAAUAGAGAGCUUAAAAAGUACUAAAGUAAAAAGGAAAAAUGAUUCAGCUUACUUAAAGAAGAAUUUAAAAAGUAGCAAAGUAAAAAAGAAAAAGGAUCGGCCUACGUAAUAAAUGGAGUUUUAAAAAUAUUGAGAAAGACUGCUGAAAAAAUGCUAUGUAAAGAAACCAGGAGAAAGUAUUUGAAAUGAAAGUAAGAAAGUAACCAGAAGAAAAUAUUUGAAAUGAAAGCAAGGCAAAGGCAAGGAAAUCUGCAAGGCUCAGGUAAGGUAGGCAAGUACUUUAAUCCAACAGGAUUGAAGAACCCUCAAGGCAAACAACAGAAUAUUCAUAAUUGAUCUAUCAGUAUUGAAAAGAGGCAUGCAACCCAUCAGCGAAAGAAGAACCCCCAAGG